rnacentral:rRNA from 1 species
AGCGAACGCUGGCGGCAUGCCUAACACAUGCAAGUCGAACGAAGGCUUCGGCCUUAGUGGCGCACGGGUGCGUAACGCGUGGGAAUCUGCCCUUUGCUUCGGAAUAACAGUUAGAAAUGACUGCUAAUACCGGAUGAUGUCGCAAGACCAAAGAUUUAUCGGCAAAGGAUGAGCCCGCGUAGGAUUAGCUAGUUGGUGGGGUAAAGGCCUACCAAGGCGACGAUCCUUAGCUGGUCUGAGAGGAUGAUCAGCCACACUGGGACUGAGACACGGCCCAGACUCCUACGGGAGGCAGCAGUGGGGAAUAUUGGACAAUGGGCGAAAGCCUGAUCCAGCAAUGCCGCGUGAGUGAUGAAGGCCUUAGGGUUGUAAAGCUCUUUUACCCGGGAUGAUAAUGACAGUACCGGGAGAAUAAGCUCCGGCUAACUCCGUG